rnacentral:rRNA from 1 species
GACGUAGGGCGCGAGCGUUGUCCGGAUUUAUUGGGCGUAAAGAGCUCGUAGGCGGCUUGUCGCGUCGACUGUGAAAUCCCGAGGCUCAACCUCGGGUCUGCAGUCGAUACGAGCAAACUAGAGUGUUGCAGGGGAGACUGGAAUUCCUGGUGUAGCGGUGAAAUGCGCAGAUAUCAGGAGGAACACCGGUGGCGAAGGCGGGUCUCUGGGCAACAACUGACGCUGAGGAGCGAAAGUGUGGGGAGCGAACAGG